GCGAGGAGAAAUGGAUUUGUCCAUGUUUCCCUGGCGGGCGAGCGGCCGCCGGACGCGCGGCUUCCUGCUCGGCGCGAUGCCGGCGCGUGUGCGUCGCUCCCCCGCCCGGCGAGUCGGCCGCCAGGCGUGCGGCCACCUGCUCCGCGUGACGCGGGCGCGUGGGCUCCCCGCCCCGCUCACGGCUCCCACGCCAUUCUGUUGCGACCUCCCCACUCCGCUGAUUCUUCUACCCAGACCGGCCCGCCCCGCUCCCAUCCCACAUUCAGGUAAUCGACUCGACGGCUCAUUCUCUUCUAAUCCAUCCUCCAAUCGACCUCCCAGAUCUGUGCGAUUGCAUGGAGGUAGGUGAUAGGACUUCUAGGGUUAGGGUAGGUCCUAUUUUUUCUAGAUUAGGCGUGCAGGACAGCAAUGGUAAGGUGGCAAUAGUAUUUGUGAUUUACUACAUCCAUUUCUCUGUAUGUUUUGUGAUCAAUUCAGGGAGGGCUGUGGAAUGACAGGAUUCGUCAGUAAAUCUCGUGAGUGGUAGAGUCGUGUUCGAUUGCCUAAUUGCUUUCUCUAUGAGUGUGUUUCUGUGUGUGGUUGUGAUAUUUUUCAUUUUUUUUCUGAUGCAAGUUCGUAAUUUAUGCCUUGGAUAGUGUUCCCUAGAUGCUCAGAUAGCUGUUGUAGUUAUGCUGUUGAGUUCAUCUAUCUUGUAGCACCCUUUUGAGCUCAGCUGUGGUUGUGAUGUUUAGAGUAUUGUUCAACACUUGCUGAUUUAAUGUACCUCGUGCAACCCCCCACAGAGCUAUGUAUAUGAGAAUUUUGCAAUGUGCAGCUAGGAUUUUUUUUACUCUGCUUGGGUCACAUGCGUGCAAGUAAUCGAGUAGAACACUACUUCCUCUUUUUGAUUCGAUUGGGUGCAUUAAGAAAUUUUGGCUGUCAGAAAAAUUUCUGGAAAUAUUGUAUAUUGAUGGUUCUUUCUCUUUCUGAUUAGAAGAUUCCUCAUUUUUGCAAUUCCCAUUUCUAACAGCUAGUCAGUUUGUGCCAUGGAAAGCUUGCAUGAUAGUUCUACUAAAUUCUACAGCAAGAAAAUUUUAAAGUGCAAUAAUAUUCCUAUAUAUUUCUGCAUUUAUUAGAUUUAUGUGUGUGUGAGUUAUUUUGUCAACUAAAGUUGUGUAGUUUAAUGACAUGAGCUUUUCCAUUUACUAUUCGCUGGUUACUUCUUAUCAAUGUGUUUACCCAAACCACAUACUAAAUUUUGCAUAUUUUUAACUCUGAAUAUUUAUCAUAUGUAAUUACAUAUUUGGUUAUUAUUUUCAGAGAGCUUAUUACACUACUAUAAUUGUAUGAUUCAGCAUAAGAAAUUAUUUUUUCAAUCUAGAUUUUUAUGGAAAUGUUUUGUUUUUUUUUCAUAUAUUUGAAAUGGUCUUCCUAGCUUUUCUAUCACUAGAUAUUUUAUUGGUAAUUUCAAAACUAUGGAUAUUAUUUUUUUGUAUAGAUGUGUAGCCUUUUUUAUCUAGAUGUGUGUCCUCUGCUUAUAAAUUUUUAAUGCUUUAGUUGAAUUUUGAUCAGUUUGGCCUGUUUGGGAUCAACUUUUGGCCUGUGAUAUUUGUGAAACAAAUCUACAUUCGACGGCUAGAUACUGCCACACUAGGCAACUUGGCUGUUGUGCUUUUCUCUAAACUUUUUUUUUGUUUCAGAAUUUCUUGUGGUUUUGGUUAUGUUACCUUUCCUGCAGGACCAAGAUAAAGGAUAAGCUUGGCAAAUUAAACAAGGAGAAGUUGCUAGACUUUCAUGAACUACUCGAUAUUUAUGUUUCAAAAUCAACAAGGAAGAUGCAUGUGCCCCCAAAACAUGGAGUCUGCACAUUAUUUUUCAAAUAUUAGGGUGAUGGUCCUGCUAAUCAGGGUUUUUGAUGAAGUGUGCGUGCCACCCCUCAGGUGGACAAAAUGAAGGGUGGAUUCCUUGUGGAUGUUAAUGUAAGAUCAUCAGAACUUUGAUCGUAGAAUUUUUCUAUGUAAAUAAAACUAAGCAAUUUGAAUAUUUUUUAGGUGUUAUAUCAUGCAGAUAUGGUAUGAAGACACAUUAAAUCUUACUUAAACCAUGAGCACCUUUAUAUUGAAAUAACUAGUUUCUGGGUAAAAAUCUUAAUGUCUAUCUGUCUUAAAUUUUCUUUGGAAAUUGUGUUAUAAGAUCUGAUAUUUUCAUUUCUUUUAUGGCGGACAAACUUAUCUAUGAGCUACUUUAUAUUCAAGCAAGCUACUUCCUCACCCUUACUGCCCUCCUUGUUUAUAUGGUAAAUGAACUUAUCCAAGUGCUGCAGUAUAUUCAGAUCUAUUGACCAUUUUGAGAUUGGAUGCAUGGAAUUUUUUUUUUCCAGUUUAGUUAAUGACAUGCAUCAUGCGCCUUUGUUGUCAAUACUGGUAAGGAGAAAUUUUAUCUGCAACAUUGUUGUCAGUUCAAAAAUUACAUGUAACAUUUUUAUUUGUUGUUUUUAUCUGUAUUUUUGUUGUCAGCUCAAAAAAUUACAUGCAACUUUUUUGUUGUUAUUUUUGGGCUGGGUUCCUCCAUUGCCAAGAAAUUGUAUACUCCCGCCACUUUCUUUUCUGUGUGUUGUCUCAAAUCAUAGGCUACUUAUUUUGUUAACUGCAUGUGCCAGGAUAAAAAAAUUAAUGUUAACUUUGUUGUCAGCCCAAAAGUUUUAUAUGUAAUUUUUUUUUUGUUUAUUGUGUUUCUACUGUUUUUGUUUGUACUGAAGUUGGGAGAGAAAUUAACUUUGUUGUCAGCCCAAAAGCUGUAUAUGUAACAUGUUUUUUUUAAUCUAUUGUGUUUCUUCA